AUGGCGGCAAGUGGAGCCGGCGGGGAGGGCGAGGAGCUGCGGCUGCUCGCCGCCGUCGAGGCGGGCGACGCCGGCGCGCCCGCGGCGGAGAAGUCGUGGCGCCUCAACUUCGACGGAUUCCGCCCGCCGGAGGCGCACCAGGAGAGGCCCGCCCGAGGGCUCCAUCACCACUGCCUCGGCGUCAUAGGUCAAGCUCCUGAGGAUGUUGUCGCUGAAUACUACCAACAGCAAGUGGAAAUGCUAGAGGGUUUCAAUGAAAUGGAUGCGUUGACAGAUCGUGGUUUUCUUCCUGGAAUGUCCAAGGAAGAGCGUGAACAGGUUGCUAGGAGUGAAACAUUAGCCAUCCGGCUGUCAAACAUUGCAAACAUGGUUCUUUUUGCUGCAAAAGUGUAUGCUUCAGUAUGGAGUGGCUCGCUUGCUAUUAUAGCUUCCACUUUGGAUUCUCUUCUUGACUUGUUAUCAGGGUUCAUCUUAUGGUUUACUGCAUUUUCUAUGCAAACACCAAAUCCCUACAGAUACCCAAUUGGUAAAAAGCGCAUGCAGCCGCUGGGAAUACUUGUCUUUGCCUCAGUCAUGGCAACGCUUGGCCUUCAGAUCAUCUUAGAAUCAACUCGAUCACUGUUGUCUGAUGGAGGUGAAUUCAGCUUGACAAAGGAGCAGGAAAAGUGGGUUGUGGACAUCAUGCUCUCAGUGACGCUGGUGAAACUUGCCCUGGCUUUAUAUUGCCGCACGUUCACCAACGAAAUCGUCAAGGCUUAUGCACAGGAUCACAUUUUCGAUGUUAUCACUAAUAUAAUUGGUCUUGUGGCUGCACUACUCGCAAAUUAUUUCGAAGGAUGGAUCGACCCUGUUGGUGCAAUUAUUCUAGCAAUCUACACCAUCAGGACAUGGUCGAUGACGGUGCUAGAAAACGUCCACUCGCUCGUCGGGCAGUCGGCUUCACCGGAGUACCUUCAGAAGCUGACCUAUCUAUGCUGGAACCACCACAAGGCCGUGAGGCACAUCGACACGGUGCGCGCCUACACGUUCGGCUCACACUACUUCGUGGAGGUGGACAUCGUGCUGCCGGCGGGCAUGCCGCUGCGGGAGGCGCACGACAUCGGCGAGGCCCUGCAGGAGAAGCUGGAGCGCCUGCCUGAGAUCGAGCGCGCCUUCGUCCACCUCGACUACGAGUUCACCCAUCGGCCCGAGCACGCUCUGUCCCAUGAGAAGUAG
rnacentral:rRNA from 1 species